UGGGGGAUAUUGCGCAAUGGGGGAAACCCUGACGCAGCAAUGCCGCGUGAAGGAAGAAGGUCUUCGGAUCGUAAACUUUUGUCUUCAGGGACGAUAAUGACGGUACCUGAGGAGGAAGCCACGGCUAACUACGUGCCAGCAGCCGCGGUAAUACGUAGGUGGCAAGCGUUGUCCGGAUUUACUGGGUGUAAAGGGCGUGUAGGCGGGAUGGUAGGUCAGAUGUGAAAUACCCGGGCUUAACCCGGGGGCUGCAUUUGAAACCACCGUUCUUGAGUGAUGGAGAGGUAAGUGGAAUUCCUAGUGUAGCGGUGAAAUGCGUAGAUAUUAGGAGGAACACCAGUGGCGAAGGCGACUUACUGGACAUUAACUGACGCUGAGGCGCGAAAGCGUGGGGAGCAAACAGG
rnacentral:rRNA from 2 species